UACCCUGGUAGUCCACGCUGUAAACGAUGUCGAUUUGGAGGUUGUGCCCUUGAGGCGUGGCUUCCGGAGCUAACGCGUUAAAUCGACCGCCUGGGGAGUACGGCCGCAAGGUUAAAACUCAAAUGAAUUGACGGGGGCCCGCACAAGCGGUGGAGCAUGUGGUUUAAUUCGAUGCAACGCGAAGAACCUUACCUGGUCUUGACAUCCACAGAAGUUUCCAGAGAUGGGAACGUGCCUUCGGGAACUGUGAGACAGGUGCUGCAUGGCUGUCGUCAGCUCGUGUUGUGAAAUGUUGGGUUAAGUCCCGCAACGAGCGCAACCCUUAUCCUU
rnacentral:rRNA from 2 species